rnacentral:pre_miRNA from 1 species
GGGGGGAGCGCUGGAUCCUGGGCUGUGUCCCCCAGUGCCCUGGGCUCUGGGGCCUGCACCGCUGGAAUCGCGCUCCCGGCGGGACAGCCCUCU